UACGUAGGGUGCGAGCGUUGUCCGGAAUUAUUGGGCGUAAAGAGCUUGUAGGCGGUUUGUCGCGUCUGCCGUGAAAAUCCGGGGCUCAACCCCGGACUUGCGGUGGGUACGGGCAGACUAGAGUGUGGUAGGGGAGACUGGAAUUCCUGGUGUAGCGGUGAAAUGCGCAGAUAUCAGGAGGAACACCGAUGGCGAAGGCAGGUCUCUGGGCCACUACUGACGCUGAGAAGCGAAAAGCCGUGGGGGAGCGAAACAGG
rnacentral:rRNA from 1 species